UUGAUCCUGGCUCAGAACGAACGCUGGCGGCGCGCCUCAUACAUGCAAGUCGAGCGAGAAAGCCCGCUUCGGUGGGUGAUUAAAGCGGCGAACGGGUGCGUAACACGUGGGCAACCUGCCUUUAGGUCUGGGAUAAGCCGCCGAAAGGGGGUCUAAUACCGGAUAACACCUUUCUAUCGCAUGGUAGAAAGUUCAAAGACCGCUUGCGGUCGCCUGAAGAUGGGCCCGCGGCCUAUUAGCUAGUUGGUGAGAUAACAGCCCACCAAGGCUGCGAUGGGUAGCCGUCCUGAGAGGGUGAACGGCCACACUGGGACUGAGAUACGGCCCAGACUCCUACGGGAGGCAGCAGUAGGGAAUAUUGCGCAAUGCCCGAAAGGGUGACGCAGCGACGCCGCGUGGGUGAUGAAGCUUCUUGGAGCGUAAAGCCCUUUCAGAAGGGAAGAACCGCAUGGAGGUGAACCUCCGUGCCUGACGGUACCUUCAGAAGAAGCUCCGGCUAACUCCGUGCCAGCAGCCGCGGUAAUACGGAGGGAGCAAGCGUUGUUCGGAAUCACUGGGCGUAAAGGGCGCGUAGGCGGGCCGGUGAGUCAGGUGUGAAAACCCGGGGCUUAACCCCGGGCCUGCACUUGAUACUAUCGGUCUUGAGUACGAGAGAGGAAAGCGGAAUUCCAGGUGUAGCGGUGAAAUGCGUAGAUAUCUGGGAGAACACCGGUGGCGAAGGCGGGUUUCUGGCUCGAUACUGACGCUGAUGCGCGAAGGCUAGGGGAGCAAACAGGAUUAGAUACCCUGGUAG
rnacentral:rRNA from 1 species